AUUGAACGCUAGCGGGAUGCUUUACACAUGCAAGUCGAACGAGUGGCGGACGGGUGAGUAAUAUCUCGGAAACUGCCCAGUAGCGGGGGAUAACUACUCGAAAGUGUGGCUAAUACCGCAUACUCUCGGAUCGUCCCAUAUCGGAUGAGCUAGUUGGUGGGGAAAAGGCUCACCAAGGCAACGAUCCGUAGCUGGUUUGAGAGGAGGACCAGCCACACUGGAACUGAGAAACGGCCCAGACUCCUACGGGAGGCAGCAGUGGGGAAUUUUGGACAAUGGGGGAAACCCUGAUCCAGCCAUCCCGCGUGUAUGAGAAGGCCUUCGGGUUGUAAAGUACUUUUGGCAGAGAGGCGGUAUCUGCAGAAGAAGCACCGGCUAACUACGUGCCAGCAGCCGCGGUAAUUC
rnacentral:rRNA from 1 species